rnacentral:rRNA from 1 species
UACAGAGGCCUCGAGCGUUAGGCGGAAUCACUGGGCUUAAAGCGUGUGUAGGCGGACUUCUAAGUACCUUGUGAAAUCCCACGGCUCACCCGUGGAACUGCUUGGUAUACUGGUCGUCUUGAGCCUUCUAGGGGCGAGUGGAGCAAAUGGUGGAGCGGUGAAAUGCGUAGAUAUCAUUUGGAACGCCAAUGGUGAAAACAACUCGCUGGGGAAGUGCUGAUGCUGAGACACGAAAGCCAGGGGAGCGAACGGG